GCCCGUCGCUCCUACCGAUUGGAUGACUCGGUGAAAUCACCGGAUGCUUACGAGCAGAAAGUGAUUAAAUCACGUUAUCUAGAGGAAGGAGAAGUCGUAACAAGGUAACGGUAGGUGAACCUGCCGUUGGAUCAGUUCUAGUUUUAAUAACUAACACCAACUUCUUUUUAUUAAACAAAAACCAAUACAAAAUUAAAAACUAACUUCAUCAAAAACCAAGUCUCUAAGCAAUGGAUGUCUUGGCUCCUCACACGAUGAAGAACGUGGCAUAAUGUGUUAAGUAACCGGAGUUGCAAACAUCAUGACAGGUUAAUCUUUGAAUGCAAAUUGCGCUAAACUCGAUCUCGGUCGAGAAGCAUGGGUGUGACA
rnacentral:rRNA from 1 species